AAGAUUGGACAAUGGGGGCAACCCUGAUCCAGCCAUGCCGCGUGUGUGAAGAAGGUCUUCGGAUGGUAAAGCACUCUAAGUUGGGAGGGAGGGAGUUAGGCUAAUACCCGGAGGUUUUGACUCUACCAACAGCAUAAGCACCGGCUAACUCAGUCCCAGCAGCCGCGGUAAUACAGAGGGUGCAAGCGUUAAACGGAAUUACUGGGCGUAAAGCGCGCGUAGGUGGUUCAGUAAGAUUGGUGUCAAAUCCCCGGGCUUAACCUGGGAACUGCUUUCAUAACUGCUGGGCUAGAGUACGGUAGGGGGUAGGGGAAUUUCCUGUGUAGCGGUGAAAUGCGUAGAUAUAGGAAAGAACACCAGUGGCGAAGGCGACUACCUGGACUGAUACUGACACUGAUGUGCGAAAGCUUGGGGAGCAAAC
rnacentral:rRNA from 1 species